CACUAAGUGCUUAUAGAGUUCACCAAUUGACAUGUUGGCAAGACUGAUCACACUGAUUGGCAGACAGAGCCCUCGUUUCCUAAGGAGAAGAUACCAUUCUGAUUACUUGAUUUGGAGACACACCAUGAACAAAUAAAGCUUGCAGAAUUGUUUUUA